CCUACGGGAGGCUGCAGUGGGGAAUAUUGGACAAUGGGGGGAACCCUGAUCCAGCGACGCCGCGUGAGUGAAGAAGUAUUUCGGUAUGUAAAGCUCUAUCAGCAGGGAAGAAAAUGACGGUACCUGACUAAGAAGCCCCGGCUAACUACGUGCCAGCAGCCGCGGGAAUACGUAGGGGGCAAGCGUUAUCCGGAUUUACUGGGUGUAAAGGGAGCGUAGACGGUGCAGCAAGUCUGAUGUGAAAGGUCGGGGCUCAACCCCGGGAGUGCAUUUGAUACUGUUGAACUGGAGUACAGGAGAGGUAAGCGGAAUUCCUGGUGUAGCGGUGAAAUGCGUAGAGAUUAGGAGGAACACCAGUGGCGAAGGCGGCUUACUGGACUGUAACUGACGUUGAGGCUCGAAAGCGUGGGGAGCAAACAGGAUUAGAUACCCCAGUAGUC
rnacentral:rRNA from 1 species